GGCUGGUCUGAGUACACGGAUGUUUACAACUAAUUGAUCACAGGCAGUUACAGAUUCCUUUGUUCCUUUUCCCCUCUUACUGUUUCACCUGAUUAACCUUAA
rnacentral:Y_RNA from 1 species